rnacentral:rRNA from 1 species
AUUGAACGCUGGCGGAAUGCUUUACACAUGCAAGUCGAACGGUAGAGGGGGCAACCCCUCGAGAGUGGCGAACGGGUGAGUAAUGUAUCGGAACGUGCCCAGUCGUGGGGGAUAACGUAGUGAAAAUUACGCUAAUACCGCAUACGAUCUAUGGAUGAAAGCGGGGGAUCGCAAGACCUCGCGCGAUUGGAGCGGCCGAUAGCAGAUUAGGUAGUUGGUGGGGUAAAGGCACACCAAGCCAACGAUCUGUAGCGGGUCCGAGAGGACGACCAGCCACACUGGAACUGAGACACGGUCCAGACUCCUACGGGAGGCAGCAGUGGGGAAUUUUGGACAAUGGGCGAAAGCCUGAUCCAGCCAUUCCGCGUGCAGGAUGAAGGCCCUCGGGUUGUAAACUGCUUUUGUACAGAACGGAAAGGUUUCUACUAAUACUAGGAGCUCAUGACGGUACUGUAAGAAUAAGCACCGGCUAACUACGUGCCAGCCGCCGCCGUAA